GACGAACGCUGGCGGCGUGCCUAAUACAUGCAAGUGGGACGCAAGAGAACACACUGUGCUUGCACACCGUGUUUUCUUGAGUCGCGAACGGGUGAGUAACGCGUAGGUAACCUUCCUAUUAGCGGGGGAUAACUAUUGGAAACGAUAGCUAAUACCGCAUAAUAUUAAUUAUUGCAUGAUAAUUGAUUGAAAGAUGCAAGCGCAUCACUAGUAGAUGGACCUGCGUUGUAUUAGCUAGUUGGUAAGGUAAGAGCUUACCAAGGCGACGAUACAUAGCCGACCUGAGAGGGUGAUCGGCCACACUGGGACUGAGACACGGCCCAGACUCCUACGGGAGGCAGCAGUAGGGAAUCUUCGGCAAUGGACGAAAGUCUGACCGAGCAACGCCGCGUGAGUGAAGAAGGUUUUCGGAUCGUAAAGCUCUGUUGUAAGUCAAGAACGUGUGUGAGAGUGGAAAGUUCACACAGUGACG
rnacentral:rRNA from 1 species